rnacentral:rRNA from 1 species
AAUAUUGGACAAUGGGCGCAAGCCUGAUCCAGCCAUGCCGCGUGAGUGAUGAAGGCCCUAGGGUUGUAAAGCUCUUUUGUCCGGGACGAUAAUGACGGUACCGGAAGAAUAAGCCCCGGCUAACUUCGUGCCAGCAGCCGCGGUAAUACGAAGGGGGCUAGCGUUGUUCGGAAUCACUGGGCGUAAAGGGCGCGUAGGCGGCCAAUCAAGUCGGGGGUGAAAGCCUGUGGCUUAACCACAGAAUUGCCUUCGAUACUGUUUGGCUUGAGACCGGAAGAGGUCAGUGGAACUGCGAGUGUAGAGGUGAAAUUCGUAGAUAUUCGCAAGAACACCAGUGGCGAAGGCGGCUGACUGGUCCGGAUCUGACGCUGAGGCGCGAAAGCGUGGGGAGCAAACAGG